rnacentral:rRNA from 1 species
AGUGAACGCUGGCGGCAGGCCUAAUACAUGCAAGUCGAACGGCAGCACAGCAGAGCUUGCUCUGUGGGUGGCGAGUGGCGGACGGGUGAGGAAUACAUGGGAAUCUGCCCAGUCGUGGGGGAUAACGUAUGGAAACGUACGCUAAUACCGCAUGCGCCCUAAGGGGGAAAGCCGGGGACCGCAAGGCCUGGCGCGAUUGGAUGAGCCCAUGUUCGAUUAGCUAGUUGGCGGGGUAAAGGCCCACCAAGGCGACGAUCGAUAGCUGGUCUGAGAGGAUGAUCAGCCACACUGGAACUGAGACACGGUCCAGACUCCUACGGGAGGCAGCAGUAGGGAAUAUUGCACAAUGGGCGCAAGCCUGAUGCAGCGACGCCGCG